CUCUCCAUACCUCUGGACCAAAAAACACUCAAUCUUGUAUGUAUGUAUACAAUUGUCACGACUAGCUACACAACCUCUAAUUUUACCUUAUCAUCACCAUUGCCAUCCUUCUCACUCUCCAAUCCAUUCAUCUCCACACCUGGAUUCUUGCUGUUGAAGUUCUGCACCUUGUACUCGUGUCGCCUUGCGAGCAACAAGAAGAACGCGAAAUUGAUCACACUGAGCACAGCCAGCAUCCAGUAGAAAUAGUUCAACUUCCCCUUGUUCAGAUUAUUCAUGAUCCACCUCCCAUUAGUGACCUUGUCAAUCAAAGAGACCAAUACACUGCUCAGAAAGAAGCCCAUAGAUAUGGCAGCAAGAAACAAGCCUGUGCUCAUUGACUUCAUCCUCUCAGGCGCUUCCCUUAUGAAGAACUCAAGCUGGCCAACGUAGCCGAAUGCCUCGCCUGCGCCAACCAGGACGUACUGGGGGACAAGCCAGAAGACGCGUAGUUUGAUACCGUUCUGGACGGCUGUUUCUCUCCUCUUCUGCUCGAUGAUGGCGGCGGCGAUCAUGGCGAACGUCGAGAAGAUGAGACCGACGGCGACCCUCUGGAGGCUAGUGAGGCCUUGAGGGCUGUGGGUG
rnacentral:misc_RNA from 1 species